GUUAACACCAAGUAGGGGAGCAGGUGCCUUAAAGUCUGGCUUCUCCCCCAAAAGGUCCAGACUCCUCUGCUCCUCGAAAAGGGCAACCCUUCCUCCAGUCAUCUGACACAUCGUUCUCCAGCUCAGUUCACAAGUCCCACCCACCAGGGUUUCCUGCUGUUAGGUGUUGAUUGUUCAGUUGUUGAGGAAUCCAUUUGUCUUUCUGGACCCUCUUUUGAUUUGGUAAAGCUACAGGAAACCUGCUGGUGGAAACUAUCUCCAGAACAAAACAAACAUGGGUAUAAAAUCAGUAGAAACCCUGGCUUUAUGUAUCCUCAUCUCUUUCCUCCUAACCCAGAA